GAUGAACGCUGGCGGCGUGCCUAAUACAUGCAAGUCGAGCGAAUGGAUUAAGAGCUUGCUCUUAUGAAGUUAGCGGCGGACGGGUGAGUAACACGUGGGUAACCUGCCCAUAAGACUGGGAUAACUCCGGGAAACCGGGGCUAAUACCGGAUAACAUUUUGGACCGCAUGGUUCGAAAUUGAAAGGCGGCUUCGGCUGUCACUUAUGGAUGGACCCGCGUCGCAUUAGCUAGUUGGUGAGGUAACGGCUCACCAAGGCAACGAUGCGUAGCCGAACUGGAAGGGUGGUCGGCCACACUGGGACUGGGACACGGCGCAGACUCCUACGGGAGGCAGCAGUAGGGAAUCUUCCGCAAUGGACGAAAGUCUGACGGAGCAACGCCGCGUGAGUGAUGAAGGCUUUCGGGUCGUAAAACUCUGUUGUUAGGGAAGAACAAGUGCUAGUUGAAUAAGCUGGCACCUUGACGGUACCUAACCAGAAAGCCACGGCUAACUACGUGCCAGCCGCCGCCGUAA
rnacentral:rRNA from 1 species